AGUCAACAUGCCCAGGGGACGUGGAUAACCUCGGGAAACUGAGGAUAAACCGCGAUAGGUCAUAAUGUCUGGAAUGAUUUAUGGCUCAAACCUAUAUGGCCCCUGGAUUGGACUGCGGCCGAUCAGGCUGUUGGUGAGGUAAUGGCCCACCAAACCUAAAACCGGUACGGGCUCUGAGAGGAGAAGCCCGGAGAUGGGCACUGAGACAAGGGCCCAGGCCCUAUGGGGCGCAGCAGGCGCGAAAACUCUGCAAUAAGCGAAAGCUUGACAGGGUUAUUCUGAGUGAUCUCCGUUAAGGAAAUCUUUUGGCACCUCUAAAAAUGGUGCAGAAUAAGGGGUGGGCAAGCCUGGUGUCAGCCGCCGCGGUAAUACCAGCACCCCGAGUGGUCGGGACGAUUAUUGGGCCUAAAGCAUCCGUAGCCGGUUCUACAAGUCUUCCGUUAAAUCCACCUGCUUAACAGAUGGGCUGCAGAGGAUACUAUAGAGCUAGGAGGCGGGAGAGGCAAGCGGUACUCAGUGGGUAGGGGUAAAAUCCGUUGAUCCACUGAAGACCACCAGUGGCGAAGGCGGCUUGCCAGAACGCGCUCGACGGUGAGGGAUGAAAGCUGGGGGAGCAAACCGGAUUAGAUACCCGGGUAGUCCCAGCUGUAAA
rnacentral:rRNA from 1 species